AAAACACCUUCGCGGUUCAGGCCACCACGUAAGAAAGCAUACUAAGUAGAAGACCUCAACUGGGGCCUGGGAAACUGGAGGAACUCUGCCCAGUUUGGUGGAACAAGACAUGUCCCUGCGAUGCCUGGAUAAAUGAUAUAAAAGGAGGAAGAAACAGAAGGAAGAAUAAAUGCACAGAACAUCUUGACAGUGUGACCUGCAUAUAUGCCUUCCUUUCAAUAGACAGAGAGACACACAGAUCCAGACACAGAAAAGCCAGAUGCCAGUGAACCAGUUCCCAGAUGGAGGGUAGAAAGUCCUACAACUAUUUCCACUCCGGAUGUGACCCCAGAUGGCCCCUCUGUGAACAGAAAGGACCCAAGAUGGUCCCUCCAUGAAUGGAAAGGACCCCAGAUGGCCCUUUCAUGAAUGGAAGG